rnacentral:rRNA from 1 species
CCUACGGGUGGCUGCAGUGGGGAAUAUUGGACAAUGGGGGCAACCCUGAUCCAGCCAUGCCGCGUGUGUGAAGAAGGCCCUCGGGUUGUAAAGCACUUUCAGUGAGGAAGAACGCCUGGUGGUUAAUACCCAUCAGGAAAGACAUCACUCACAGAAGAAGCACCGGCUAAAUCCGUGCCAGCAGCCGCGGUAAUACGGAGGGUGCGAGCGUUAAUCGGAAUUACUGGGCGUAAAGCGCGCGUAGGUGGCUUGAUAAGCCGGUUGUGAAAGCCCCGGGCUCAACCUGGGAACGGCAUCCGGAACUGUCAAGCUAGAGUGCAGGAGAGGAAGGUAGAAUUCCCGGUGUAGCGGUGAAAUGCGUAGAGAUCAGGAGGAAUACCAGUGGCGAAGGCGGCCUUCUGGACUGACACUGACACUGAGGUGCGAAAGCGUGGGUAGCAAACAGGAUUAGAUACCCUGGUAGUC